GUCCACGCUGUAAACGAUGAGUGCUAGCUGGUGGAAAUGUUUACCGUUUCACUGGCGAAGCUAACGCAUUAAGCACUCCGCCUGGGAAGUACGGCCGCAAGGCUAAACUCAAAGGAAUUGACGGGGCCCGCACAAGCGGUGGAGCAUGUGGUUUAAUUCGAAGCAACGCGCAGAACCUUACCCGGGCUUGACAUCCUCCGAAGUUGACUGAAAGGUCGAUGUGCCGCCGCAAGGCGGAGCGGAGAGACAGGUGCUGCAUGGCUGUCGU
rnacentral:rRNA from 1 species